rnacentral:tRNA from 1 species
GGGCCUAUAGCUCAGUUGGUCAGAGCACCUGACUCAUAAUCAGGGGGUCGCUGGUUCAAGCCCAGCUGGGCCCACAA